GCUGAAGAUCAGCCUGAAUGUACCUGAUCUUGCCUGCUUUCAGAAGUUAAGCAGAGCUUAGCUUGGUUGGUAUUUGUAUGGGAGACCACCUAGGGAAAACAGGGAUCUCUGGGC
rnacentral:rRNA from 1 species